GUGCUCACUUAGGUAGCACAUAUACUAAAAUUGGUAUGACACAGAGAGGAUUAACAUGGUCCCUAUGCAAGGAUGAAGCAUUUUCUAUUUUAUGAAAUCAUGUCAUUU
ensembl:snRNA U6 U6 spliceosomal RNA